UACGUAGGGCGCGAGCGUUGUCCGGAAUUACUGGGCGUAAAGAGCUCGUAGGUGGUUUGUCGCGUUGUUCGUGAAAACCGGAGGCUUAACCUUCGGCGUGCGGGCGAUACGGGCAGACUGGAGUACUGCAGGGGAGACUGGAAUUACUGGUGUAGCGGUGGAAUGCGCAGAGAUCAGGUGGAACACCGGUGGCGAAGGCGGGUCUCUGGGCAGUAACUGACGCUGAGGAGCGAAAGAGUGGGGAGCGAACAGG
rnacentral:rRNA from 1 species